AUGUAAGUUCCUCUAAUCAGUUAGUGAACACUUCUCUAAACUAAAGCUGGUAGGAUUCCUCUGGUAGUGUUGUCUGUCCUCUGUGACUUUACCUCCACUGUUAAAUGUGAGAUCAACAUGUUUAAUAAAGGAAUAUACAACAUGGAUCACUAUCACUACUGCUGCUGCUGUUGUCUUUCAUAUGGACAAUAUGGAGGAAUACUAGCAACACUGAUCUAAUGCUGGACUGUAUCUACAGACUAGGAGAACCUGAUACACAGAGGAAGGAACAAAUACUCAUAUCUGGAUGUAACAGUGCCCCCACCCUCACUGUCCUGCCCCCCUCUAGUGAGGAGCUGUCCAGUACAACAACAGCCACACUGACGUGUCUGGCCAACAAGGGCUUCCCCUCAGACUGGACCAUGAGCUGGAAUGUGGACGGGACCAACAAGAACCAGGAGAUCAGUCCCGGGGUCCUGGAGAAGGAUGGCCUGUACAGCUGGAGCAGCACCCUGACUCUCACUGCCCAGGAGUGGACCAAGGCAGGAGAGGUGACCUGUGAAGCCCAGCAGAAAUCCCAGACUCCAGUCACCAAGACCCUGAGGAAGGCUGACUGUUCUGGGUAGGACCCCUCAGACACACACCCCUGUGGAGAGAGGCUGCUGGUUCCUCUGCUUUGACUCUGUUCUGAGAUCAGAUGUUCUCUGUCUUAUUGAUCACUGACAUGUAGACAAACAGAAGGCUUUGCUUAAGUUCAUGUGUCAAUCAUCUCUGUAGACUGAGGUUGUAUCCGUGUUAGAUGUGAUGUGUUCUGUUUUAUUACUAUUAGAUACUGUAGGAAUGUUUGCUUUGAUGAUAAAUAUAUGAAAAUAAAGAUUUCCCUUUGGAACAAA